GGCAGAAGUGUGGCGCCUCUCGUGAGCCUCUUGCUUAGUUCGGUUCGCAGUCUUCUGUAUCCGCUGUGUUGCCUAGCCAGGGGCUGGGACAGUGCCCCGGUUGGCGUGAGUGAGGGGGUGAGGCGAGCACGGCGGAACAGACGGACGUAGAGCCACACGCCUCGCCCCUGUGUUUCGCUUCUCGUCGUCAAGCCCGUUGGGCUCAGCUCCUCGCCCCAUUUCAAGGCUACAUCACAAUCACUUACCGCCCCGGCCCUCAAAACACGGCCGACACCCUCUCCCGCUUCCCGGUCAGCUGACCCCAACAGUGCAGCCCAGCCCCCAACCCAGAGCCCUCUGACCCCAGUCCCUCACUUUCCGCUACAUCAGCAGAAAACCUAACCUCCAUUACAUCUCCAUCACCUCCCCCGCUUUGGCCCUC
rnacentral:lncRNA from 1 species